rnacentral:rRNA from 1 species
AACGAACGCUGGCGGCAUGCCUAACACAUGCAAGUCGAACGAGACCUUCGGGUCUAGUGGCGCACGGGUGCGUAACGCGUGGGAACCUGCCUUUAGGUUCGGAAUAACUCCCCGAAAGGGGUGCUAAUACCGGAUAAUGUCUUCGGACCAAAGAUUUAUCGCCUUUAGAUGGGCCCGCGUUGGAUUAGCUAGUUGGUGGGGUAAAGGCCUACCAAGGCGACGAUCCAUAGCUGGUCUUAGAGGAUGAUCAGCCACACUGGGACUGAGACACGGCCCAGACUCCUACGGGAGGCAGCAGUGGGGAAUAUUGGACAAUGGGCGAAAGCCUGAUCCAGCAAUGCCGCGUGAGUGAUGAAGGCCUUAGGGUUGUAAAGCUCUUUUACCCGGGAUGAUAAUGACAGUACCGGGAGAAUAAGCUCCGGCUAACUCCGUGCCAGCCGCCGCAGUAAUAC